CACGUAGGGAGCAAGCGUUGUCCGGAUUUAUUGGGCGUAAAGAGCUCGUAGGCGGUUCAGUAAGUCAGGUGUGAAACCUCCAGGCUCAACCUGGAGACGCCACCUGAUACUGCUGUGACUUGAGUCCGGUAGGGGAGCGUGGAAUUCCUGGUGUAGCGGUGAAAUGCGCAGAUAUCAGGAGGAACACCAGCGGCGAAGGCGGCGCUCUGGGCCGGAACUGACGCUGAGGAGCGAAAGCGUGGGGAGCAAACAGG
rnacentral:rRNA from 1 species